GACGAACGCUGGCGGCGUGCCUAACACAUGCAAGUCGAACGGAGAUUAAUUUAAGUUUACUUAAAUUUAAUCUUAGUGGCGGACGGGUGAGUAACGCGUGGGUAACCUACCCAUAAAGCCGGGACAACCCUUGGAAACGAGGGCUAAUACCGGAUAAUCUUGGAGCUUGGCAUCAAGCUUUAAGGAAAGAUGGCCUCUGAAGAUGCUAUCGAUUAUGGAUGGACCCGCGUCUGAUUAGCUAGUUGGUGGGGUAAAGGCCUACCAAGGCGACGAUCAGUAGCCGGCCUGAGAGGGUGAACGGCCACACUGGGACUGAGACACGGCCCAGACUCCUACGGGAGGCAGCAGUGGGGAAUCUUCCGCAAUGGACGAAAGUCUGACGGAGCAACGCCGCGUGUAUGAUGAAGGUCUUCGGAUUGUAAAGUACUGUCUUUGGGGAAGAACGAGUGUCUUGAAAAUAUUGAGACACUAUGACGGUACCCAAGGAGGAAGCCCCGGCUAACUACGUGCCAGCAGCCGCGGUAAUACGUAGGGGGCAAGCGUUGUCCGGAAUUAUUGGGCGUAAAGGGCGCGUAGGCGGAUACUUAAGUCCGGUGUGAAAGAUCAGGGCUCAACCCUGAGAGUGCAUCGGAAACUGGGUAUCUUGAGGACAGGAGAGGAAAGUGGAAUUCCACGUGUAGCGGUGAAAUGCGUAGAUAUGUGGAGGAACACCAGUGGCGAAGGCGACUUUCUGGACUGUAACUGACGCUGAGGCGCGAAAGCGUGGGGAGCAAACAGGAUUAGAUACCCUGGUAGUCCACGCCGUAAACGAUGAGUGCUAGGUGUAGAGGGUAUCGACCCCUUCUGUGCCGCAGUUAACACAAUAAGCACUC
rnacentral:rRNA from 1 species